rnacentral:rRNA from 1 species
CACAAGCGGCGGAGCAUGCGGAUAAUUCGAUGCAACGCGAAGAACCUUACCAAGGCUUGACAUACACCGGUAACGCCCAGAGAUGGGUGCCCCUUUGUGGUCGGUGUACAGGUGGUGCAUGGUCGUCGUCAGCUCGUGUCGUGAGAUGUUGGGUUAAGUCCCGCAACGAGCGCAACCCUCGUCCUAUGUUGCCAGCGGGUCAUGCCGGGGACUCAUGGGAGACUGCCGGGGUCAACUCGGAGGAAGUGGGGAUGACGUCAAAUCAUCAUGCCCCUUAUGUCUUGGGCUUCACGCAUGCUACAAUGGCCGGUACAAAGGGCUGCGAUACCGCGAGGUGGAGCGAAUCCCAGAAAGCCGGUCUCAGUUCGGAUUGGGGUCUGCAACUCGACCCCAUGAAGUCGGAGUCGCUAGUAAUCGCAGAUCAGCAACGCUGCGGUGAAUACGUUCCCGGGCCUU